GGACAGGUGUCCGAGUGGCUGAAGGAGCCGGUCUCGAAAACCGGUAAACCCGCAAGGGUUUCGAGGGUUCGAAUCCCUCCCUGUCCG
rnacentral:tRNA from 2 species